GUUGUGGGUUCAUGACUCCUCUUUCCCCCUUUUGCAGCUGCAGUUCCUCAGCCAGGAAUUUUUCAUGUGAUCUCCGGGGAAGCUCCUGCUCACUUUUCAAGAGGCUGGUGGGCAUCACCUUCUGGAGUUGCCCUUAUCCCAACAGAUGUGCUUUCCUGUCCCUCUGUAUGGCUGUGUCUGGACAUUGUGGGCAGCACCCUGCUGCGCUCAGGACAUGGUUCAAGAAAAAAGGCCUUCCUGAUGUAUUGCUCCACUUCCCAUCUCGAUCCCUCCAUGUACCAGCCACCCCUGUGUGAGGAAGCCCAGUCUGUGGGAAGUUUCUGGUGAUUUUGAGAGGGUUUCUCCAAACUCAGGGGAACAAGUGAAAGCAAAGUCGCUCAGUCGUGUCCGACUCUUUGCGACCCGUGGACUGUAGCUCACCAAGCUCCUCCAUCCAUGGGAUUCUCCAG
ensembl:lncRNA